UAGAGUGGAGUGGGCGUUUGGCCUUGCCAUUAAGACACCACUUGGGAUAUCCGUAUCCCAUUUUAGAGUGCUUGAGUUUGAGUCCCACUUCUUCUCCCAUUGCCAGCUUCCUGCUAAUGUGCACAUUGCAAGAAAGCAGGUGAUAGGUCAGGUAUUUGGGUCCUCAACACCCAGGUGGAAACCUGGCUUGCAUUCCUGGUUCCCAGCUUUGGCUUGGCCUAGCCACAGCUGUUGAAGGCAUCUGGGGUGUGAACCAGCAAAUGGGAGAUCUUUCUGUCUCUAGGCCUCUUAAAUAAAUUAAAAAAAAAAUAAAAUAAAAUCCUGGAGCCAACGUUAUAGUGCAGCAGGUGCAGGAGCCUGGGCAUUUAGGCUUUCCUCUGCUACUUUCCCAGGCACACUUGGAAGAAACUGGGUUUAAAGUGGAGCACCUGGGACUUGAACUGGCACUCUUAUAGGAUGCUAACAUUGCAGGUGGAGGUUUAACCAACUGUGCCAUAAUGCCAGCCUGAGAGUGUUUUUAAAGGAACAAAAAAAGUUUUUCAAAGAUUUAUUUAUUUAGUUGAAAGGCAGAGUUACAGAGAGGCAGAGGCAGAGGUGGGGGGUGGAAGGAGAGAGAGAGGUCAUCCAACUGCUGGUUCACUCCCCAGAUGGCAGCAAUGGCUGGAGCUGGGCUGAUCCAAAGCCAGGAUCCAUGAGCUUCCUCUGGGUCUUCCCAUGCAGAUGCAGGAGCCCAGGGACUUGCGUCAUCUUCUACUGCUUUCCCAGACCAAAGCAGAGAACUGGAUGGGAAGUGGAGCAGCCGGGACUUGAAGUGGAGUCCAUAUGGGAUGCCUGCUCUGCAGGCGGUAGCUUUACCCCCUGUGCCAGGAUGCCAGCCUCAGGAACAAAAUUUUAAUGAUAAGUUUUCUGAAUUGGUUUGGGGUUCCUAUAGUUGACUGUCUAAUUUGAUGAAAUUUAAAAUUGCUGAGGGGGUCCAGCAUUGUGGCACAGAGAUUUAGACCACUGCUUGUGACACUCACAUCCCGUAUUGGUUCAAGUCUUGGCUGCUCUGCUUCCUAUCCACCUCCUAGCUCACGUGUCUGAAAAAGCAGCAUAAGCUGGGAGAUGGAAUGGAGUUGCAGGCUCCUGGCUUCAGCCUGGCCCAGCCCUAGCGGCUGUGACCAUCUGCGGAGCGAACCAGCAGAUGUGGAAGAUCUCUUUCUCUGUCUCUCGCUUUCUAGCUCUCCCCCCUCCUUUUUCUCUCCCUUCUCUUUCUAUUACUCUGUCUUUCAAAUAAACAAAACACAUGUUAAAAAAAAAAAAAAAAACAAAGGCACUUGCUAGGGAUCUCAUUUCUGUUAGUAAAGGAAACACUGACAGUCCAUGGAGUGAACUGUUUAUAGAGAUAAGCAAAAUAUCUACUUUGGGUAGUCCUAGUAAACCACUUACAAGAAAUGUCAGAGGAUAAAAUUAUAACAAUUUAGCAAUCUUAAUUGGCUUUACUUUAGAUUUUUCAGGCAACACUUCACUCCGUAAAAUAGAAUAAGUAUUCUGAUGAACAGGAGUUGGUUUAAUAGGCAGAAAAGGGCUGAAGAAAGCAGAAACAAAGACCAAAAUGAGUUGAUCAUUUAAAGGUUACUUUUUUUGUAAAAUCAGGAUGAUGAGACAGAAUAAUAGGGAAAGAACUGGAGUGUUAACCUCAGGUUAUUUCAGGUGACUUCUCUUGUGUAGGGAUUAAAGCACAUUAUCAUGCUGAGUGAUUUCGGCCUAUUUGGGAAACUUGGCUGUUGUAUUUCUAAUCCUCGCUUCUCUGAAGGUCAGGUACACAGCUUAGUUUCAGCUUGGUAAUGUGUAAGUUUACUGUGAUUCCCUUUUGAUCCUUAUCCUGGUGCGUUGGGGACCAGCAGUACAGGAGCUUAGUCCAAAACAAUGGCCUCCUGUACUUUUUAUUUAACAGGGGCAAAGAGCUAAGUAGCUCUCUAUAUACCUUUGGACAUUUUUGGAAUACUAAGGAAUGCAGUGAUGUUGGUCGCUCCCAAAGCUGGCGAACGAAGUAGUGAAAGAAAAGGACGAACUUAAUGGUUUAAGUUCCCAGCAGUGCAAGCACUCAUAGAUGAUCUAAGCACUUGUGGGUUUGCCCUGAAGGAGAGCCUCAUCUCCCAUAGCUCUGGAGCUGACACUGCUGAAGAUCAGACACAACUCUUUCUCCUGCAGCCAGCUGCAUUCCAAGGCUUUGUGGGUUUUCUACUGUCAAAGUACAGGCAUUCACUGGAGAAAGAAAGGGGUCCUUUAGGUGAGGACAGGUGCAUGUCAGGAGAGCCCAUGGAGCAGGGGAUGUUGAGCCCUUAAAUCCUGGUAUCUUUUUCCCCAGUAGAUAAAGUCCCUCUAGUCUGAGCAGAAGCAGCCUCCUCAAUCUAAAUAGACUAAGACCAAGUGCUGUGGAUGCCAUCACCUUCUUCAGUGUCCUAUAGGCAGGGAUUAGCUUACCACUUCCCAGUCUGUUGGCUCCUCACCAUUGGCACAUUUGUGAUGAUAUUAUCGGUUGACACAGUCUCCUACCCUCCUCUCUGCAAGAAUGUUUAUACUUGGCUUCCAGGACAUCCCAUUUCCAGUUUUUCUCCUUCAGUGGACUAGUCUUCCACUCUCAUUUGCUGGUUCCUUUUCAUAACCUUGGCCUCUAAACCAGCAGUUCUCAAAACUUUGUGCCCCCAGGACCUCUUUUAUGUUUUAAAAAAUUAUUGAGGCCCUCAAAGAGGUGUUGGUUGUGUGGCAUAUCUGUCAAUAUUUAUUCCAUUUAAAAUUAAAAUGGAAAGGCUGGUACUGUGGUGUAGCAGGUGAAGCUGCCUACUGUGCAUGUGCAUGACUUAUGGAUACCGGUUCAAGUCGUGCCUACUCCACUUCCAGUCUAGCUCCCAGCUAAUGCAACUAGGAAAGUAGCAGGAGAUGACCCAGUACUUGGUUCCCUGAACCCAAAUGGGAGACCCAGAAGAAAGUCUCGCCUCCUGGCUUUGGAUCGGCCCAACCCUGUCCAUUACAGCCAUUUGGGGAAUGAACCAGCAGAUGGAAGAUCUCUCUUUCUUCCUCUUUCUCUGUAACUUUGCCUUUCAAAUAAAUAAAUGUAUCCUUUUUAAAAAUAAAGUCAACAGGGGCCAAGCACUGUGGCACAGUGGGUUAAAGCCCCAGCCUGUAGCGCCAGCAUCCCAUAUGGGCACCAGUUUGAGUUCUGGCUGCUCCUCUUCUGAUCCAUCUCUCUGCUAUGGCCUGGGAAAGCAGUAGAAGAUGGCCCAAGUCCUUGGCACCCUGUACCCAUGUGGGGGACCUGGAAGAAGCUCCUGGCUCCUGGCUUCCAUCAGCUCAGCUCUGGCCAUUGCGGUCAUUUGGGGAGUGAACCAGCCAAACUGAAGACCUCUCUCUCUCUCUCUCUCUCUGCCUGUACUUCUCUCCAUAACUCCUCUGUCUUUCAAAUAAAUAAAAUAAUUCUUAAAAAAAAAAAUAAAGUCAACAUUCACGGUGUCCCGUCUUCUCUCUUUUUUCUUUGUUUAUUUGAAUGGCAUAAUGGCAGAGAGGUAGGGGGGACAGAGAGAGAGAGAGCCACCUCUCCCAUUUGCUGGGUCACUCCCUCCAAAAUUAUAAAUUCAUUUAAUUUAAUUAUCAAAAACCUAUGACAUGUUAACAUAAAUACCAUUUUCUUAGGGAAAAAAACUAUUUUUCAGAAGUAAUUAGUGGGAAUGUUGUAGGAUUAGUGGGAUGUUGAAUCCACUUGCUUGAUAAACAGCAAGCAAAUCACUGACAUUGGGGUGGUGUGAGAAAGCAGGUAUUUAUUGCAAAGCACAAGGGGUUAGAGGUAAGGGGUCCUACAGAUCGAGUAGCUCUAACGAUGCACUGAGAGGCAUUGUUGUAUGUAUUUUUAAAAAAGAUUUAUUUAUUCAUUUGAAAGAGUUACAGAGAGAGAGGGAGAGACAGAGAGAGAGGUCUUUGAUCUACUGGUUCACUCCCCAAAUGGCCGCAACAGCCAGUGCUGGCACCGGGCUUAAGCCGGGAGCCAGGAGCUUCUUUCAGGUCUCCCACAUGGGUGGCAGGGGCACAAGUAUUUGGUCCAUCUUCCACUGUUGUUCCCAGGACAUUGGCAGGGAGCUGGAUCAGAAGUAGAGCAGCCAGGACGUGAACUGGUGCUCCCAUGGGAUGCUAGUGUCGCAGGUGGCACAUUAACCCGAUAUGCCACAACAUCAGAUCUUUAACGACGGUAUUAACUGUCUAUGCUUCAUAGGAAAACUUUGCCCACUACUAUUCUAAUUUAGUAGAGGACAGCUACAUUUCUCACUUAUACUUCUAAUUCGGUCUAUUGUAAUUUGUUGUUUGGGUUAAAGCACAUGAAGAAAAUCUGACUUCACAUAGCCAGUGUAUUUGGAAAAAGGAAGGAAAAAAAAAGAGGAGUAUUUUAGUAGCCUUUUGAGAUAAUAGUGGAUAUUCUCCUCUGAUUGUGCAACAGAAUUCCAAGGGAUGAUUUCUUUUUAUUUAUUUAUUUUUUUGACAGGCAGAGUUAGACAGUGAGAAGAGAGACACAGAGAGAGAUUUAUAGACAGAGACAGAGAGAGAGGUCUUCCUUCUGUUGGUUCACUCCCCUAAAGGCUGCCACGGCCAGCGCUGCGCCAAUCCGAAGCCAGGAGCCAGGUGUUUCUCCUGGUCUCCCAUGCGGGUGCAGGGACCCAAGCACUUGGGCCAUCUUCCACUGCCCUCCCAGGCCACAGCAGAGAGCUGGACUGGAAGAGGAGCAACCAGGACUAGAACCCAGUGCCCAUUUGGGAUGCCGGCGCUGCAGGCGGAGGAUUAUUAGCCAAGUGAGCCAUGGCACUGGCCCCAAGGGAUGAUUUCUUAAAAGUUAAUUGCAAAGUGCAACCUGAUACCUUAUCAGUGAACUUUUUGUCUUCAGUUAAGUUAAAAUCUAUUGUCCAUCUUGCACUUGUGGCUCUGGACAAUGAGAGUUGCCCAUUACCCAGGUUCUUGUCAAGAGCGAGUGAGAAAAUAACAGAUAGCAAGCAGCAAGCAUUUUAUGGAGAAAGCAAAAAGUGCACAUUCCACAGUUAGAGUCCUGGCUCUGUGGAGGAGAGUGGCUCUUUGUCUGAACUGGUGUUUGACAAUGAAUGGUUGGUUAAUGAAAUAUAUUCAUGGUUUUUCUGGGAAGUGGGUGGAGAUUUCCCAACAUCUAGCUACCACCCCUUCUCAAUCUUUAUGUGGUUCGGUGUUUCCUGUCAUGGCGGCUGAGUAGGUAUGUCAUUUAACAUGCUAAUGUAUUACAAGAAGCAUAUAACCCGCUGUAGCUCAAUCUGGGUCAUCCUUGACCCUCUAAACUGGUUUGAGCCUCCUCCAGGCAGGGGGUGUGUUGUCUUCAGAGCAAGAGGAACCAAACUGAUAUCCUGUAGGCCUUGUGGUAAUAGGAACUCCCAGGUGGCUCAACCACUCCCUCCACUUGUCUGUCUCACUUGAAAGGGCUCUCUCUCUCUCUCUUAAAGAUUUAUUUAUUUAUUUGAAAGGCAGAGCUAAAAAGAAGCAGAAGUAGAAAGACGGAGGGUGGAGGGAGAGAGAGAGAGGUCUUCCAUCCACUGGUUCACUCCCCAGAUGGCUGCAACAACCAGAGCUGCGCCAAUCUGAAGCCAGGAGGCAGGAGCUUCCCACGUAGGUGUAGGGGCCCAAGGAGUUGAGCCAUCUUCUGCUGUUUUCCCAGGCCAUAGCAGAGAGCUGGAUCUGAAGUGGAGCAGCCUAUAUGGGAUGCCAGCACUGCAGACGGCACCUUUACCUGCUACACCACAGCACUGGCCCCAUUGGAAGGGCUCUUAAGAUUAAUGGUGGAAGUAUAACCACAACAUGUUUGCCACUAUGUACAUCUACCAUGGGGAUUACAGUGAUGUCACUGACUAUUGAUUGUCUAGGAGGCACAAAUCAGAUCAAGAAACACUGGAAUUUGCUGCAAAAGCAAAGAGACAGCUUCUGUCUGCUGGUUCACUCCCCAGAUGCCCACAGCAGACAGGGAAGAACUGAAGCCAGGAUCCAGGAACUCAAUUCCGUAUCUCACAUGUGAGUAGAGGAACCAACCCCUUGAUCCACUUUUUUUCCCCAUAAACCUUUCAUUUAAGGAAUACAAACUUAUACAUUUCAUAAUUACAACUGUAAGAAGAUGGUGAUUCUUCCUAUCGUACCUGACCUCCUACCCUUCUUUCUCCUCCCUCUCCUAUUCCCAUUCUUAUUUUUAACUAAGAUUUAUUCUCAAUUAACUUCAUACACAUGAUUAACUCUAUGUUAAGAGUUCAGCAAACAGUAUGAAAAAAAGUGAUUCCUCAACAGUUGAGACAAAGGCUGUUCAAAGUCAUUGCUUCUCAAAAUGUCAGUUUCACUCCUGUAGAUUGUCAUUUAGGUGCUCUAUUAGUUAUUACAGGUCAGGGAGAACAUAUAUUUGCCCUUUGGGGACUGGCUUAUUUCACUAAGUAUGAUGAUUUCCAGUUCCAUCCAUUUUAUU